rnacentral:pre_miRNA from 1 species
UUUCGAAUGAUCGACAUAACUCAGUAUCAGUUAUUUCGCUCACCCGAAAAUCCAGU